GGCCGAGCGGUCUCAAGGCAUCUCAUAGCCCGGAGGUCGCAGGUUCAAAUCCUGCC
rnacentral:tRNA from 1 species